CGCGUAGGCGGCCUAUUAAGUCUGGAGUGAAAGUCCUGCUUUCAAGGUGGGAAUUGCUUUGGAUACUGAUGGGCUGGAGUGCAGGAGAGGAAAGCGGAAUUACCGGUGUAGCGGUGAAAUGCGUAGAGAUCGGUAGGAACACCAGUGGCGAAGGCGGCUUUCUGGACUGAAACUGACGCUGAGGCGCGAAAGCGUGGGGAGCAAACA
rnacentral:rRNA from 1 species